rnacentral:rRNA from 1 species
AUUGAACGCUGGCGGCAGGCCUAACACAUGCAAGUCGAACGGUAACAGGAAGAAGCUUGCUUCUUUGCUGACGAGUGGCGGACGGGUGAGUAAUGUCUGGGAAACUGCCUGAUGGAGAGGGAUAACUACUGGAAACGGUAGCUAAUACCGCAUAACGUCGUAAGACCAAAGAGGGGGACCUUCGGGCCUCUUGCCAUCGGAUGUGCCCAGAUGGGAUUAGCUAGUAGGUGGGGUAACGGCUCACCUAGGCGACGAUCCCUAGCUGGUCUGAGAGGAUGACCAGCCACACUGGAACUGAGACACGGUCCAGACUCCUACGGGAGGCAGCAGUGGGGAAUAUUGCACAAUGGGCGCAAGCCUGAUGCAGCCAUGCCGCGUGUAUGAAGAAGGCCUUCGGGUUGUAAAGUACUUUCAGCGGGGAGGAAGGGAGUAAAGUUAAUACCUUUGCUCAUUGACGUUACCCGCAGAAGAAGCACCGGCUAACUCCGUG